rnacentral:rRNA from 1 species
GCUUUCGUGAUGAGCGUCAGUACAGGUCCAGGGGAUUGCCUUCGCCAUCGGUGUUCCUCCGCAUAUCUACGCAUUUCACUGCUACACGCGGAAUUCCAUCCCCCUCUACCGUACUCUAGCCAUGCAGUCACAAAUGCAGUUCCCAGGUUGAGCCCGGGGAUUUCACAUCUGUCUUACAUAACCGCCUGCGCACGCUUUACGCCCAGUAAUUCCGAUUAACGCUCGCACCCUACGUAUUACCGCGGCUGCUGGCACGUAGUUAGCCGGUGCUUAUUCUUACGGUACCGUCAUGGGCCUCUCGUAUUAGGAGAAGCUUUUUCGUUCCGUACAAAAGCAGUUUACAACCCGAAGGCCUUCAUCCUGCACGCGGCAUUGCUGGAUCAGGCUUUCGCCCAUUGUCCAAAAUUCCCCACUGCUGCCUCCCGUAGGAGUCUGGGCCGUGUCUCAGUCCCAGUGUGGCUGGUCGUCCUCUCAGACCAGCUACAGAUCGUCGGCUUGGUAAGCUUUUAUCCCACCAACUACCUAAUCUGCCAUCGGCCGCUCCAAUCGCGCGAGGCCCGAAGGUCCCCCGCUUUCAUCCUCAGAUCGUAUGCGGUAUUAGCUACUCUUUCGAGUAGUUAUCCCCCACGACUGGGCACGUUCCGAUGUAUUACUCACCCGUUCGCCACUCGUCAGCGUCCGAAGACCUGUUACCGUUCGACUUGAUGUGUAA